UCCGGUUUGUCACCGGCAGUCUCCCUAGAGUGCCCUUGCGUAGCAACUAGGGACAAGGGUUGCGCUCGUUGCGGGACUUAACCCAACAUCUCACGACACGAGCUGACGACAGCCAUGCAGCACCUGUGUUACGGCUCCCUUUCGGGCACACCCCCAUCUCUGAGGGCUUCCGUACAUGUCAAGGGUAGGUAAGGUGGGGAUGACGUUUCGCAACUAACCA
rnacentral:misc_RNA from 1 species